rnacentral:rRNA from 1 species
UACGUAGGGUGCGAGCGUUAAUCGGAAUUACUGGGCGUAAAGCGUGCGCAGGCGGUUCGCUGUGUCCUGUGUGAAAGCCCCGGGCUUAACCUGGGAAUGGCCUAUGUGACUGGCAGGCUAGAGGAUGGCAGAGGGAGGCGGAAUUCCACGUGUAGCGGUGAAAUGCGCAGAUAUCAGGAGGAACACCGAUGGCGAAGGCAGGUCUCUGGGCCACUACUGACGCUGAGAAGCGAAAGCAUGGGGAGCGAACAGG